UACGAACUGUGCGAACGUUAUUCGGAUUCACUGGGCUUACAGGGUGCGUAGGCGGCUUGCUAAGUAGGGUGUGAAAGCCCCCGGCUUAACCGGGGAAUGGCGCCCUAAACUGGCGAGCUGGAGUGAGAUAGGGGUGUGCGGAACUUCCGGUGGAGCGGUGAAAUGUGUUGAUAUCGGAAGGAACACCAGUGGCGAAAGCGGCUUCCUGGUCCAGCACCGACAUUCAGGCACGAAAGCGUGGGGAGCAAACAGG
rnacentral:rRNA from 1 species